rnacentral:lncRNA from 1 species
AGAGAAGAAGAUACAAGAGAAGAGGAGACGGCAACGUGAAGACAGGCAGAGGUGGGAGCGAUGCAGCCACAAGCCAAGGAAGGCCUGGGGCCCCCAGAAAAGGCAAGGAGCAAAUUCUCCUGGAGCCCUUGGAGGGAGCAACUUUGGUUGGCCCUGCCAACACCUUGAUUUCGGGCUUCUGAACUCUACAACUGUGCGAGAAGAAAUUUCUCCUGUUUCAAGCCAGCCAGUUUGUGGUAAUAACGAGGGCUGUGUGUUCGGGGAUGAAGAGGAGAUGCCUGGAUUAGACUUCAGCCUGUGCAUCUAUCGUAACCCUUCCUGAGGACUUAGGUUCCCAGCAGGACCCUCCUGGAGAGCCUCAUCUGGUUAUGAGUCUCCUGAGACUUCUGGAUUGCGUGAGCCAGAACGCAGGCAUUCACCCUGAGGACUACAAGGUGCUGAUUAGCUCUCAGAGACCUCCAGCCAAUGGAGCAGAGGGGCCGGCUGAGUCCCAGGGAGGCCACAGGGUCACAGC